ACGAACGCUGGCGGCGUGCCUAAUACAUGCAAGUCGAACGGUCUUUCUAUGGAAGCUUGCUUCCACUGAGAAGAUAGUGGCGAACGGGUGAGUAACACGUGGGUAACCUGCCCAUAAGAGGGGGGAUAACAUCCGGAAACGGGUGCUAAUACCGCAUAGUUUUCUUGAUCGCAUGAUUGAGAAAGGAAAGAUGGCCUUUGUGCUGUCGCUUAUGGAUGGACCCGCGGCGUAUUAGUUAGUUGGUGAGGUAACGGCUCACCAAGACGAUGAUACGUAGCCGACCUGAGAGGGUGAUCGGCCACAUUGGGACUGAGACACGGCCCAAACUCCUACGGGAGGCAGCAGUAGGGAAUCUUCCGCAAUGGACGAAAGUCUGACGGAGCAACGCCGCGUGAGUGAAAGAAGGUUUUCGGAUCGUAAAACUCUGUUGUCAGAGAAGAACAAGUUGGAGAGUAACUGCUCCAGCCUUGACGGUAUCUGACCAGAAAGCCACGGCUAACUACGUGCCAGCCGCGGC
rnacentral:rRNA from 1 species